AGACAUUGUGACAUAUAUCUAGGCAAAUUGCCUAGAAGUGAAUCCCCUCUCCUGCUUAAGUCCUUCCCACAGAGAGCGGUUUGAUAUGUCACUGAAACCAGCAUCCAGGUGGUAUUGCUCCAUAUGCCUGAGACCCUAACAAAAGCCUAAUUACAACUCAUAUGCCUGGAGCCAGGACAUGUGCAGGAUGCCAUGAUGGUCCAAGUUAUAUUGGGAUUCAGCCAAUAGAAGAUAUUUUGCCUGUCAUCCCUAAGCUUAGGACAAUAGACUCUGCCAAGAGAGGGGAUUAUUACAUAUUGCAGAGCCCAGCACCUAGGUGGAGUGACUCUCAUCUUUUUCUUCUACCCCGUAUAUAGCCAGCUUGGUGACCUACUAUUUGAGUCUAUACCCAGGCCCAGACCACAGAUGAAAUUGUGCAAUAUGUGGAACAAACACCUAAACAAUAUAUAACACCUUCCUUGGCUCUGUCUACAAAGGGCACUUUUAUAUAUCACUGGGACCAUCAACCAGGUGAUGUUGUGCCAUAUAACUGAGACCGUAUCAAAAGCCUAAUAACAAGACGUAUGUCUGGAGCCCCGAUAUGCACAGGAUGGUGAUAUAACCCUCUUCUCUGGAAUGGGCCCCACACAAAGGAAGGAUAGUGACAUAUUGCAAGCCCAGGCACACAGGCCCAGAGCACAGUUGAAAUUGUGACAUAUGUACACCAAGCAACCAAGCAAUGUAUAACACCUCAUUUGGCAAUGGAAUCGAGGGCACUUUUACAUAUCACUGAGACCAGCGCCCAGCUGAUGUGAAAUAUUGGCCUGAACCCUGCCUACAAAAGCAUUGUGGCUUUUAUCUAGCUCCAUUACAUAAGUGAUGUGACUUCCUUCUACUGCCUUGGCCCUGCACUUAUGGUGAAUCGUGACACAAAAUUGGGUAGAGCAACCAGCCUGGGCCCUGACCAGCACAGAGAUUGAGGCAUAUUGCUGAACCCAGGACCAAGAUGAAGUCACUCUCCUGCCUUGAUCCUGCACACAGGGACCCUUGUGACAUAUAUACAGGCCAAUUGCCUAGGUAAAGUUUGUCUCCUCUCCUGCCUAAGCCCUGCCCAUGGGGAGGAUUUAGAUAUAUCACUGAAACCAG
rnacentral:lncRNA from 1 species